rnacentral:rRNA from 1 species
GACGAACGCUGGCGGCGUGCUUAACACAUGCAAGUCGAACGGAAAGGCCCUGCUUUUGUGGGGUGCUCGAGUGGCGAACGGGUGAGUAACACGUGAGUAACCUGCCCUUGACUUUGGGAUAACUUCAGGAAACUGGGGCUAAUACCGGAUAGGAUCUCCUGCUGCAUGGUGGGGGUUGGUAAGUUUCGGCGGUUGGGGAUGGACUGGCGGCUUAUCAGCUUGUUGGUGGGGUAGGGGCUUACCAAGGCUUUGACGGGUAGCCGGCCUGAGAGGGUGACCGGCCACAUUGGGACUGAGAUACGGCCCAGACUCCUACGGGAGGCAGCGGGGGGGAAUAUUGCACAAUGGGCGGAAGCCUGAUGCAGCAACGCCGCGUGCGGGAUGACGGCCUUCGGGUGGAAAACCGCUUUCGCCUGUGACGAAGCGUGAGUGACGGUAAUGGGUAAAGAAGCACCGGCUAACUACGUG